UGUUUAGAAACUUAUACGGUCCAUCCCCUGAGUUAGAAAAAAAACUUAUGUCUCCUCCCACCCCGAUCAGAUCUGAGACUGAAAACAUAGUGCCGCCGCCGGUUCUCAUCUCCAUAAGGUGGUGCUCCUCUCGCGGCCGUCCUCUCUUGCCGCCAGCAUCCCUAUUUCACACCACCUCACACCACCGGCGUUCAUGCCUCCACCCUCUGCGAUCUGCACCCUCUCUCUCUCUCUCUCCACGGGUCACUGCGCUCUGGCGGUUUCUAGCGACGAAUUGCGCCUCUCCUUCGUAUCGUACAUCCUGCAGUAUUGCUGGUUCACACAUGCCGACGUCCACAGGUUUUCCGAAUCUGAGCUUAAAUAUCUGUUAGACUGUUAUUUGUAUAUGAAGUUCUAUUACUGCUUCAAAAUCCAAAUUAUGGAAGAAGGUACCAAACCUCCACCAGAUUUAUCCCCACGUCGUGAACUCUAUGCCAGAUGCAUUGCAGGUUGUGCUACAACUUUUUGAUUAAAUUUGAUUGUGCAUCAAUUAUUAGCUGAUAAUGAUGAAGUACACCAAUAAUCGGCAAGAUUUGUAACUCUCGUCUCCAAGCGAGAUUCUAUUCGAGGUAGAUCGACAUGCUUCACAUACUUAAUCGCUCCUUUUCUACCACACACCUCUGUAUUUGUUAAGAACUAUAACUAUUAGCACCAAAUUUCAAGGCAUGUUUGCAUGUUGUUUCGUAUUUUCCUGCAGUGUGCAAACAAGAAGCUAGACUAUUGAAGUCAAGAGAUGGUGCUCCUUUGUCAUGGGUACUGCCCCUAAUGGUAAAAUAUUUCGGUUGUGCUACUCCUGUGUUAAUACUUGGUGGUUGAAGGUGUGUAUAAUUGAAUAUCUAUGCAGUUCCAUCAAUUUUACGAAUGAUCCACUUGUCUUGUUUAGCAAGUGCAGGAUAUUUUGAUUGUUUUAUAGGAGCCAAUGGACGUUAAACGUUUCUCUGCUUGAGGAGAACGAAAAUUGACAAGGGUACCGGUUCCGAUGAUUUUUGAAGCCAGACAAUGAAAAAUAUCAUUAUCAUGGAAGUCUAAGGAGGAGUUAAGAUGGCGACUUGCGAGCUCAUGUACUGUUAGCUGCAUUCAAAAGCUUAUAAGUAGAUAGAUUCGAACAAUAGUUCCACGAGGUAUCUAGGAUUUAAGGGAUUUCGCCCAGUUGAGUUUGAUUUCUUUCUGUAAUAAUACAACUCGAUUGUAAACUACAGCUGAUCGGAAGAAAUAAAGAUAUAUUUUUCUAACA